UUAACAUGUGGCCAAGGUAUCGUUUGCCUGGCCUUGGUUGCUGCUGUGCCACUUGGCUAAAUGGAAUGGUGAUUGCGCUGCUCCCAGCUCAUCAACACAUUUUACUUGGAGCUUGUGUCUAUAACUUUGGAUGUGACCAUGAUAUUGCAUAAACUGAUUGCUUGGAUCGCUAAGGAAUCGUUUGCCUGCUCUGCCAUUUGCAGAUCUACUUGGAGCUUGGGUUUCAUUUGUUGCGCUGGCCAAGUUAAAGCAGCUGCGUUGCAUUCUGGAGAGCUGAGUGAGCAGUUAAUAGUCGGUCCUCCUACAGAUCUGGGUACUUACCGCAGCCAUCUGGACUGAACAUCUGCUUGACCUGCUUUUGUUUCAAAAUGUGCAUACGAUAUCCUGCGACACCUGCCCAAGGGAGCUGCCACUAAUGCUACUGCUUACUACAUUGUCUUCGCCACUAAAUGAGGCAACUGCGUCGUCAUUUUGAUGAGGAUAGGAUAUCUACAUAGCGAAGCCAUCAACUAUCAGCGGCAAUAGCAAGAACAAUAGCUGGUUGG